AAUAUACUCCCUCCGUCCGAAAAUACUUGUCCUAAAGAUGAAUAAAAUGAAUGUAUCUAUAACUAAAAUAAGUCUACAUACAUGCAUUUCUAGGAAAAGUAUUUCCGGAUGGAGGAAGUAUUAU
rfam:Hordeum vulgare subsp. vulgare, WGS project CAJW01000000 data, contig: morex_contig_269668